rnacentral:rRNA from 1 species
ACUUAAUAGAUACCCGGGUAGUCCACGCCGUAAACUAUGGAUGCUAGCUGUUAUCAGUAUCGACCCUGGUAGUAGCGAAAGCUAACGCGUUAAGCAUCCCGCCUGUGGAGUACGAGCGCAAGCUUAAAACAUAAAGGAAUUGACGGGGACCCGCACAAGCGGUGGAGCGUGUUGUUUAAUUCGACGGUAAGCGAAGAACCUUACCAGGGUUUGACAUCCCGCCAAGGUCUCCGAAAGGAGACUGUGCCUUCGGGCCGCGGUGACAGGUGCUGCAUGGCCGUCGUCAGCUCGUGUCGUGAGAUGUUU